rnacentral:rRNA from 1 species
AGCAGCCGCGGUAAUUCCAGCUCCAAUAGCGUAUAUUAAAGUUGUUGCAGUUAAAAAGCUCGUAGUUGAAUUUCGGGGUCAGCAGGUCGGUCGUGCCUACGGUAUGCACUGGCCUUGCUGAUUCCUCCCUCUUGAUGAGCCGUAAUGUCAUUAAUUUGGUGUUGCGGGGAAUCAGGACUGUUACUUUGAAAAAAUUAGAGUGUUUAAAGCAGGCAAGCGCUUGAAUACAUUAGCAUGGAAUAAUGAAAUAGGACGUUCGAUCCUAUUUUGUUGGUUUCUAGGAUUGACGUAAUGAUUAAUAGGGAUAGUUGGGGGCAUUAGUAUUCAAUUGUCAGAGGUGAAAUUCUUGGAUUUAUUGAAGACUAACUACUGCGAAAGCAUUUGCCAAGGAUGUUUUCAUUAAUCAAGAACGAAAGUUAGGGGAUCGAAGACGAUCAGAUACCGUCGUAGUCUUAACCAUAAACUAUGCCGACUAGGGAUCGGAUGAUGUUAAUUUUUUAAUGACUCA